rnacentral:rRNA from 1 species
AGUGAACGCUGGCGGUAGGCCUAACACAUGCAAGUCGAACGGCAGCACAGUAAGAGCUUGCUCUUACGGGUGGCGAGUGGCGGACGGGUGAGGAAUACAUCGGAAUCUACUUUUUCGUGGGGGAUAACGUAGGGAAACUUACGCUAAUACCGCAUACGACCUACGGGUGAAAGCAGGGGAUCUUCGGACUUUGCGCGAUUGAAUGAGCCGAUGUCGGAUUAGCUAGUUGGCGGGGUAAAGGCCCACCAAGGCGACGAUCCGUAGCUGGUCUGAGAGGAUGGUCAGCCACACUGGAACUGAGACACGGUCCAGACUCCUACGGGAGGCAGCAGUGGGGAAUAUUGGACAAUGGGCGCAAGCCUGAUCCAGCCAUACCGCGUGAGUGAAGAAGGCCUUCGGGUUGUAAAGCCCUUUUGUUGGGAAAGAAAAGCAGCAGGUUAAUACCCCGCUGUUCUGACGGUACCCAAAGAAUAAGCACCGGCUAACUUCGUG